GGAGAAGAAAAAGGUACAGAAAGCUACCAAGGAGGCCGAAAAUGCCAUCAAGAAAGUCGAGAAGAUCGCACCAAACUAUAAUAAAAAUUGACGACAGCAGAAACUCAGACCUAGAAAGUUGCUUCUCGGACACUGAUCGAGUUUCAAAAUUCAAAAGAGUAUAAGGAGGAGCUUGUCAAUAUCGGCUCGGAUGCACACCAACUC
rnacentral:lncRNA from 1 species